ensembl:lncRNA
AGUACAUCUGGUGUCUGCAGGAGGAUGCUCAGAGGAGGGAAGCAUCUUUUCCAGUGAAUAGAAAAGCAGAGACUGAGGACACUGACUCAGACAGCUGCUGGGAUUCAAUGCAUCCCACGACAUCUGUGUGUCCCCCAGGAAGGGUUUCUAUCCCCUUUCCUCCUCUUUCUCCGCACAAACCAGUGUUUGUCAUACAGAUGCAGUGUGCAGACGGGAUAGGUCUUUGGUCCUUCCCCCCACAGUGCUUAAGGUUCAGGAGGACAAAGCUGGACCACCCCAAGAUGGUUGCAACCCAAAUCACGCAUCCAAAGAGAUGACUUAGGAUCACACUGUAGCUCUUUUGCCCAGAGGAGCUGUGGCUGCCCCAUCUUUGGUGGUGCCAAGGCAGGGUUGGGGGGGGUCCUGGGCAGCCUGAACUGGGGUGCACGCAGCCCACGGCAGGGGGUUGGAACUGAAUGGUCUUUAAGGUCCCUUCCAACCCAAUCAUUCUAUUUUUUCAGUGAUUCUGUGGUAUUUUUCACUAUCUGGUGAUUCCCCGAAUGAAGGCAGAUUAAGGAAGGAAAAUCCAGCCCUGAAUCACUAAUCGGUAGCAAACCAAAUAAUUUCAAGCCCGCAACUCUUUUUGUGAUAUACCUACCUGCCCACUGCUGGUCUGUGUUCAGAUACUGGGAAAACAUCAGGGCAGGCAGGUAAAGCCAUCUCUGAACUAAUUAUUGAAAAUGGCUGUGUUCAGUAGCAUUUCCUAGAUCUCAGAUAUGAUCCACUUCAUAAAAAAAAUGUGGGAGAAGGCUUAUUUUUCAGGCAAGGUUUCCCUGCCUGUCUGAGAACCAUGGGAUGCCCCGGAUACCAAAAGCCCAAGAGGAGGGGGUGAGGAUGAAGGCUAAGAUCCAAAACCCAGGUGGGUGCUGCUGCUGGAGCUCCCGUCCCAUGCAGCACAGAGUGGGGAAGGCCUGGGCUCAUGGUGCCAACACACAAAUCUCUAUUGACAAAAGCCAUCGCCGACACAGUUCCCUCCAGGAGGACUUUCACCUGCUCCAGCCUGUGCAAGGCUUUGACCACAGGAAUAUGACCGUGGAGGUGACAUUUACAUUUAAACACAGAUAGGUAGCUGAAACAAAAUCUCCUGCCACAGCCCUGACCUGUAUCCCCGAACAAAGCAUCCCUUAUUCAGUGGAUAAGCAAAGGGGAACAUCGGUUUUCAGAUUAUCUGCAUCCCAGCGUUCCCUCGGAGGGGGACAUGGCGAUGGAAGGUCUCUGUUCGGUGACCCAACAACAGGGCCUUUAUUGCCAGGCAGGGAUGAAAGGCCCAUCACAGCUGCUGGCUCAGCCCGUCCGUGACAGAGCGUGUUUGCACAAACAAUGCUGAAAUUAAAGCCCCCGAGUUCAAAACCUCAUUGUCUGAAAAGCACUUCAUGAAUCCAUCCCCCUCCUUUUCUAAUAAAAAAGGGGUGCGUUUUCUUCCUGCCGCGACAGAAGGUAGUUCUACAUCAUGCUGGUCCUACAAGUGUUGGUAAAUUGCUUUUUGAUGGGUGAAGCAAAGCGUGUGUGGGGUGCCCAUGGACUGGCUGGUGGUGAGUGAGAGUGGUGGUGAAUGGAGCUCCUUCCAGUUGGUGACUGGUCAUGAGUGGUGUUCCCCAGGGGUCGGUGCUGGGGCCCGUGCUCUUCAAUAUCUCUACUGAUGGCCUGGAUGAGGGCACUGAGUGCACCCUCAGUACGUUUGCAGAUGGAUGACACCAAGCUGGGGAAAGUGUGGGUCUGCCUGGGGUUAGGAAGGCCCUACGGAGGGAUCUGGGCAGGCUGAUCACUGGGCUGAGGCCAAUGGGAUGGAGUUCAAGAAGAUCGAGUGCCGGGUCCUGUGCUUUGGCCACAGCAACCCCAUGCAAUGCUGCAGGUGUGGGACAGUGGCUGGAAGCUGUGGGAGGAAAAGGAGCUGGGGCUUAUCUGCCCUAUCAGGAUCUGAAUGUAAGAUAUGGGAAAGACAAAGUCCUCCUUGCAGAACUAGCCAGCUCCUGGGCUCACGGAGAAGAUGCCGAGCAGAGCAGAGGGAUAAGAAUAAGAAUUGGUUUUUCCCAAAGGCAAAAUGAGUCGAAGGUCAGAGCUGCCCCACGUGCUGCCCAUCCCUGCCUGGAGCAGCUCAAGAUUUCUGGCCCCAGAUCUUCCAAGGAGAUUUUUACCAGGCAGUUCAUAGUGUCACGUCAAGAGCUGAGACCACCCAGCUCUUCCCAAUGCUCUGUUUGUGGUCUCUCAUCACCAAAGUGCCAUGCUCACAGCCCAGAUGGGUUUACGUCUGUUUUAGAGCCCAGAGGCCAGAGUGAUCUCCCAGAAGAAAUCUAAGCAGGGUGUGAAAUAACAGGAGGAUGCAAAGAGCCUGGACAAAGGAUGUCAUUCUGCAAGCCAAGCUGUAUUGGCAGAGCUCCUGCUACCUCUUCAUGGUCACCAGCAGGGAAAUGGACCCACUUGACUGGCUGCACUGGUUGGGCCAGGAUUAGCUGCAAAAGCUUCUUGUCCCUGGGCUCCCAUGGUGCCGGGGCAGGGCAAAACCCAAAUUAACUUCAGCAAUAAGCAAACAAAUCCCUAACGAUGGAGGAGGGGCAGGGCUGGGUGCACAGCUGGGCAGAGCAGAGAUGACUUCUCAACCUGUGGUCAGAGCAGGGCUGGGUACAGCAUCAUCAGAGCAUCCUGUAUUCCUAACGCAGGAGCACGGGCUGCACCCUGGCUGCGGGGCGAGACGGUGUCCUAUUAAUUGAUUUUGCCAACCUCAGAAGUUGAAAAGCAUUUUGCCUUCAUCCUCUGGAAUGCAAAACGCAUCCUCUUCCUCUCCAACCACGGUGGGCUCCACGGAGCAGAGAGCUGAUUCGUUUAGUUAAAACAGAUUAAAAUAGCUCGAGGAUCUUCAUGUUCAGUGAGCAAUGCUGGGGACAAGCAGGAGGACGCUGCAGGCACAUUCCAUACAUCGUGCCAGUAAGUCCAAACCAUCUCCCCAGCAAGGUUUGGACUCACCCAAAAGACAGUGGAGCCCAUGUAAAAAUCCUCCCUUCAAUCCAGGUUUUUUUUUAAACCCCCAAAGAGCCCAUUUGGACCCAUUUCAUGAGCUGUCUCACAGCAGAGGGUGG